rnacentral:rRNA from 1 species
AGCAGCCGCGGUAAUUCCAGCUCCAAUAGCGUAUAUUAAAGUUGUUGCAGUUAAAAAGCUCGUAGUUGAAUUUCGGGGUUCUACCGUUGGUCGGGCUUUGUCUGUACUGGCGUGUGGAAUUUCUACCUUCUGGGGAACUAUCAUGUUAUUCAUUUAACGUGGUGGGAAACCAGGACCUUUACCUUGAAAAAAUUAGAGUGUUCAAAGCAGGCUUGUGUCUGAAUACAUUAGCAUGGAAUAAUAAAAUAGGACGGUGGUCCUGUUUUGUUGGUUUCUGAAUCACCGUAAUGAUUAAUAGGGAUAGUUGGGGGCAUUAGUAUUCAAUUGUCAGAGGUGAAAUUCUUGGAUUUAUUGAAGACUAACUUCUGCGAAAGCAUUUGCCAAGGAUGUUUUCAUUAAUCAAGAACGAAAGUUAGGGGAUCGAAGACGAUCAGAUACCGUCGUAGUCUU